AUGCAGGACCUGUUCUCGGUGCCCUCCUGCUUCUCGUCCGGCGAGAAGCAGCUGCCGGACGCGCCGGCGUCCGCGGCGCCGGCGACCAGGUCGGGGCAGAGCGCCGUGACGCUGGUGUACCGCGCGGUGAUCUCCGAGCAGAGCCGGCUGGUCACCGUGACGUGGUGUAGGAACCUGCUCGCCCACGGCAUGCAGGUGUCCAUCGAGGGGUCGGCCGGCGGCGGCAAGGACAAGAGCGGCGGCGGCGGGGGCAGGGAGCACGCCAGCGGCGGCGGCAUCGAGGGCGGCGGCGCCAAGAGCUGCAGCGCGUGCAAGGUGGAGAUGCAGCCAUGGCACUUCUGGCGCAAGUACGGGGCCAAGCAGUUCCAGGUGGACGGCCGGCCGGUCGACGUGGUGUGGGACCUGCGGGCCGCGCGGUUCUCCGACGAGCCGGAGCCGGUGUCGGACUACUACGUGGCGGUCGUGUCCGGCGAGGAGGUGGUGCUGCUGCUCGGCAACCAGAACAAGGAGGCGUUCCGGCGGACGGGGGCCCGGCCCUCGCUGUCGCUGGGGGACGCGGCCAUGGUGUGCAAGAAGGAGCACGUGUUCAGCAAGAAGCGGUUCCUGACCCGGGCGAGGUUCCACGAGAAGGGCAAGCUGCACGACAUCAGCAUCGAAUGCAGCAGCGGCAACCUCGGCGGCGGCACGGACGUGGACAUGGCCAUCAAGAUCGACGGCUGCGUCAACGUGCUCGUCAAGCACCUCCAGUGGAAGUUCAGGGGCAACGACUGCAUCUCCAUCAACAAGAUGAAGGUGCAGGUCUACUGGGACGCCCACGACUGGCUCUUCGGCACCGGCAUGCGCCAGGCCCUCUUCAUCUUCAAGCCCCAGGCCCCCUCGCCGUCACCCGACUUCGACGCCGCCAUCGCCGCCGACGAGUUCUCCGAUUUCUGCCUCUUCCUCUACGCAUGGAAGAUCGAAUGA
rnacentral:rRNA from 1 species